UAUGUAUAUGAAUUUGUUUGUACUUAUUAUUUGUUCUUUUGGUUAAUAUUCGUAUUGGACAAGCCAGAAAAUAAAUUUCUGGUAAUAGAUAUGAUAUAUCGGCAUUUCAUUUAAUCUAAGAGAGAUGUAAACACUCGAUUUCUCAAGGGCGGUAGAUAAUUACAACCUCAGUGAAAUGCCAAUUUGAACAACUGAUGUUGGACUAAAUC
rnacentral:lncRNA from 1 species